rnacentral:rRNA from 1 species
UACGUAGGUGACAAGCGUUGUCCGGAUUUACUGGGCGUAAAGAGCGCGCAGGCGGUCGUUCAAGUCGAGUGUGAAAGCCCCCGGCUCAACUGGGGAGGGUCACUCGAUACUGAUCGACUCGAAGGCAGGAGAGGGAAGUGGAAUUCCCGGUGUAGUGGUGAAAUGCGUAGAUAUCGGGAGGAACACCAGUGGCGAAGGCGGGUCUCUGGGCAGUAACUGACGCUGAGGAGCGAAAGCGUGGGGAGCGAACAGG